CAGUAGCCGCGGGAAUACGUAGGGUGCGAGCGUUAAUCGGAAUUACUGGGCGUAAAGCGUGCGCAGGCGGUCGUGUAAGACAGGUGUGAAAUCCCCGGGCUUAACCUGGGAACUGCGCUUGUGACUGCACAGCUAGAGUAUGGCAGAGGGGGGUGGAAUUCCACGUGUAGCAGUGAAAUGCGUAGAGAUGUGGAGGAACACCGAUGGCGAAGGCAGCCCCCUGGGCCAAUACUGACGCUCAUGCACGAAAGCGUGGGGAGCAAACAGGAUUAGAUACCCGAGUAGUCCCUGUCUCUUAUAC
rnacentral:rRNA from 1 species